rnacentral:rRNA from 1 species
UGAGUAGGGCGGGACACGUGGUAUCCUGUCUGAAUAUGGGGGGACCAUCCUCCAAGGCUAAAUACUCCUGACUGACCGAUAGUGAACCAGUACCGUGAGGGAAAGGCGAAAAGAACCCCGGCGAGGGGAGUGAAAAAGAACCUGAAACCGUGUACGUACAAGCAGUGGGAGCCUCUUAAUGGGGUGACUGCGUACCUUUUGUAUAAUGGGUCAGCGACUUAUAUUCUGUAGCAAGGUUAACCGAAUAGGGGAGCCGAAGGGAAACCGAGUCUUAACUGGGCGUUAAGUUGCAGGGUAUAGACCCGAAACCCGGUGAUCUAGCCAUGGGCAGGUUGAAGGUUGGGUAACACUAACUGGAGGACCGAACCGACUAAUGUUGAAAAAUUAGCGGAUGACUUGUGGCUGGGGGUGAAAGGCCAAUCAAACCGGGAGAUAGCUGGUUCUCCCCGAAAGCUAUUUAGGUAGCGCCUCGUGAAUUCAUCUCCGGGGGUAGAGCACUGUUUCGGCAAGGGGGUCAUCCCGACUUACCAACCCGAUGCAAACUGCGAAUACCGGAGAAUGUUAUCACGGGAGACACACGGCGGGUGCUAACGUCCGUCGUGAAGAGGGAAACAACCCAGACCGCCAGCUAAGGUCCCAAAGUCAUGGUUAAGUGGGAAACGAUGUGGGAAGGCCCAGACAGCCAGGAUGUUGGCUUAGAAGCAGCCAUCAUUUAAAGAAAGCGUAAUAGCUCACUGGUCGAGUCGGCCUGCGCGGAAGAUGUAACGGGGCUAAACCAUGCACCGAAGCUGCGGCAGCGACACUAUGUGUUGUUGGGUAGGGGAGCGUUCUGUAAGCCUGUGAAGGUGUACUGUGAGGUAUGCUGGAGGUAUCAGAAGUGCGAAUGCUGACAUAAGUAACGAUAAAGCGGGUGAAAAGCCCGCUCGCCGGAAGACCAAGGGUUCCUGUCCAACGUUAAUCGGGGCAGGGUGAGUCGACCCCUAAGGCGAGGCCGAAAGGCGUAGUCGAUGGGAAACAGGUUAAUAUUCCUGUACUUGGUGUUACUGCGAAGGGGGGACGGAGAAGGCUAUGUUGGCCGGGCGACGGUUGUCCCGGUUUAAGCGUGUAGGCUGGUUUUCCAGGCAAAUCCGGAAAACUAAGGCUGAGGCGUGAUGACGAGGCACUACGGUGCUGAAGCAACAAAUGCCCUGCUUCCAGGAAAAGCCUCUAAGCAUCAGGUAACAUCAAAUCGUACCCCAAACCGACACAGGUGGUCAGGUAGAGAAUACCAAGGCGCUUGAGAGAACUCGGGUGAAGGAACUAGGCAAAAUGGUGCCGUAACUUCGGGAGAAGGCACGCUGAUAUGUAGGUGAAGUCCCUCGCGGAUGGAGCUGAAAUCAGUCGAAGAUACCAGCUGGCUGCAACUGUUUAUUAAAAACACAGCACUGUGCAAACACGAAAGUGGACGUAUACGGUGUGACGCCUGCCCGGUGCCGGAAGGUUAAUUGAUGGGGUUAGCGGUAACGCGAAGCUCUUGAUCGAAGCCCCGGUAAACGGCGGCCGUAACUAUAACGGUCCUAAGGUAGCGAAAUUCCUUGUCGGGUAAGUUCCGACCUGCACGAAUGGCGUAAUGAUGGCCAGGCUGUCUCCACCCGAGACUCAGUGAAAUUGAACUCGCUGUGAAGAUGCAGUGUACCCGCGGCAAGACGGAAAGACCCCGUGAACCUUUACUAUAGCUUGACACUGAACAUUGAGCCUUGAUGUGUAGGAUAGGUGGGAGGCUUUGAAGUGUGGACGCCAGUCUGCAUGGAGCCGGCCUUGAAAUACCACCCUUUAAUGUUUGAUGUUCUAACGUUGGCCCCUGAUCGGGGUUGCGGACAGUGUCUGGUGGGUAGUUUGACUGGGGCGGUCUCCUCCUAAAGAGUAACGGAGGAGCACGAAGGUUGGCUAAUCCUGGUCGGACAUCAGGAGGUUAGUGCAAUGGCAUAAGCCAGCUUGACUGCGAGCGUGACGGCGCGAGCAGGUGCGAAAGCAGGUCAUAGUGAUCCGGUGGUUCUGAAUGGAAGGGCCAUCGCUCAACGGAUAAAAGGUACUCCGGGGAUAACAGGCUGAUACCGCCCAAGAGUUCAUAUCGACGGCGGUGUUUGGCACCUCGAUGUCGGCUCAUCACAUCCUGGGGCUGAAGUAGGUCCCAAGGGUAUGGCUGUUCGCCAUUUAAAGUGGUACGCGAGCUGGGUUUAGAACGUCGUGAGACAGUUCGGUCCCUAUCUGCCGUGGGCGCUGGAGAACUGAGGGGGGCUGCUCCUAGUACGAGAGGACCGGAGUGGACGCAUCACUGGUGUUCGGGUUGUCAUGCCAAUGGCACUGCCCGGUAGCUAAAUGCGGAAGAGAUAAGUGCUGAAAGCAUCUAAGCACGAAACUUGCCCCGAGAUGAGUUCUCCCUGACUCCUUGAGAGUCCUGAAGGAACGUUGAAGACGACGACGUUGAUAGGCCGGGUGUGUAAGCGCAGCGAUGCGUUGAGCUAACCGGUACUAAUGAACCGUGAGGCUUAACCU